rnacentral:rRNA from 1 species
AGAGAUGUGUGAUGACGCAUAUCAAUAAGCGGAGGAAAAGAAACUAACAAGGAUUCCCUUAGUAACGGCGAGUGAAGCGGGAAGAGCUCAAAUUUGAAAUCUUCAAGGUUCUACCUUGACGAAUUGUAGUUUAUAAGAAGUGUUAUCUGUUAGUAGAGUGGCAAAAGUUCUUUGGAAUAGGACAUCAUAGAGGGUGAGAAUCCCGUAUUUGGUCAUUCUUUCUAGCUUUGUGAUACACUUUCAACGAGUCGGAUUGUUUGGGAAUGCAGUCCAAAAUGGGUGGUAAAUUUCAUCUAAAGCUAAAUAUUGGCGAGAGACCGAUCAGCGAACAAGUACCGUGAGGGAAAGAUGAAAAGAACUUUGAAAAGAGAGUUAAACAGUCCGUGAAAUUGUCAAAAGGGAAGCGUUUGACACCAGUGUUGUUUUUCCGAAAAUCAAUUACGAAUGUUUUAUUUUUGAGGAGUUAUGACUUCAUCGGCUUGCUUCUCUCUUUACGAAACUUUCUUAAUGCACUUUUCGGUUAACAAGUCAACAUCAAUUUCUUUUGUUGUAAAAGAGUAUGAGGAAGGUGGCUUUCUUUUCGGAGAAAGUGUUUAUAGCCUUUACCUCUGCAAUCGGAGAGAUUGAGGUCUGCAGCGUAGAUCCUUCGGGGUUAGAUACAUUUGUGCUAAGUUAUAGCUUUUCAUAGACAACUUGUUGACUAUGUUAAGUCUUGUAGCUUACUCGCUUAUGCUAUUUUACCUACGCUUAGGAUGUUGACGAUAGCUGAGCGCG